GCUCAUGCCUGUAAUCCCAGCACUUUGAGAGGCUGCUGAGGGAGGAUCACUUGAGCCCAGGAGUUUGAGACCAGCCUGGGUUACAUAGUGAGACCCCUGUCUCUACCAAAAAAUAAAAAAAUUAGCUGAGUGUGUUUGAGACCAGCCUGGGUUACAUAGUGAGACCCCUGUCUCUACCAAAAAAUAAAAAAAUUAGCUGAGUGUGGUGAUGCAUGCCUGUAGUCCCAGCUACUCAGGAGACUAAGGAGGGAGGAUCACUUGAGUCAAGGAGCUGGAGGCUGCAGUGAA
rnacentral:lncRNA from 1 species